CAAAAAAUAGCUUAAUAAAGCACCUAGCUUACAUCUAGGAGAUGUCAAACAACCCAGACUUUUUUGA
rnacentral:tRNA from 1 species